rnacentral:rRNA from 1 species
UACAGAGGGGCAAGCGUUAUUCGGAAUUAUUGGCGUAAAGGGCGCGUAGGCGGCCUGACAAGUGGAAGGUGAAAUCCCUCGGCUUAACCGAGGAACUGCCCUCCAAACUGUCUGGCUUGAGACCGGGAGAGGUGGAGUGGAAUUCCCAGUGUAGCGGUGAAAUGCGUAGAUAUUGGGAGGAACACCAGUGGCGAAGGCGGCUCACUGGACCGGUACUGACGCUGAGGCACGAAAGCGUGGGGAAGCAAACAGGGAGUUAA